rnacentral:rRNA from 1 species
GAUGAACGCUGGCGGCGUGCCUAAUACAUGCAAGUCGAGCGAAUGGAUUAAGAGCUUGCUCUUAUGAAGUUAGCGGCGGACGGGUGAGUAACACGUGGGUAACCUGCCCAUAAGACUGGGAUAACUCCGGGAAACCGGGGCUCAUACCGGAUAACAUUUUGAACCGCAUGGUUCGAAAUUGAAAGGCGGCUCCGGCUGUCACUUAUGGAUGGACCCGCGUCGCAUUAGCUAGUUGGUGAGGUAACGGCUCACCAAGGCAACGAUGCGUAGCCGACCUGAGAGGGUGAUCGGCCACACUGGGACUGAGACACGGCCCAGACUCCUACGGGAGGCAGCAGUAGAGAAUCUUCCGCAAUGGACGAAAGUCCGACGGAGCAACGCCGCGUGAGUGAUGAAGGCUUUCGGGUCGUAAAACUCUGUUGUUAGGGAAGAACAAGUGCUAGUUGAAUAAGCUGGCACCUUGACGGUACCUAACCAGAAAGCCACGGCUAACUACGUGCCAGCCGCCGCCGUAA